rnacentral:rRNA from 5 species
UAAAAAGCUCGUAGUUGGAUCUGUGUAUCGGACGGUCGGUUCGCCGCUCGCGGUGUUUGACUGACCGGUUCGGACGUCAUGCCGGUGGGACCUCGGCGCAAGUCGGGGUUCCGUAACUUACCCUCCGCGCUGCUCUUAACCGAGUGGUUCGGUGGGCCGGCACGUUUACUUUGAACAAAUUUGAGUGCUCAAAGCAGGCCUUAUGUUGCCUGAAAACUGUGUGCAUGGAAUAAUGAAAGAGGACCUUGGUUCUAUUUUGUUGGCUUUCUGAACUCGAGGUAAUGAUUAACAGGGACAGACGGGGGCAUUCGUAUUGCGACGUUAGAGGUGAAAUUCUUGGAUCGUCGCAAGACGGACCGAUGCGAAAGCGUUUGCCAAGAAUGUUUUCGCUAAUCAAGAACGAAAGUUAGAGGUUCGAAGGCGAUUAGAUACCGCCCUAGUUCUAACCAUAAACGAUGUCAGCCAGCGAUGCGCCGAUGUUCCUCCGAUGACACGGCGCGCAACUUCCGGGAAACCAAAGCUUUUGGGUUCCGGGG